GACGAACGCUGGCGGCGUGCCUAAUACAUGCAAGUCGAACGCAGUGGGGACGGUUGAGUAACACGUGGGUAACCUACCAUCAGAGGGGAUAACACUUGGAAACAGGUGCUAAAACGAUAAUGGUGGAUGGACCCGCGGUUCAUUAGCUAGUUGGUGUGGUAACGGCUCACCACGACAACGUUGCAUAGACGACCUGAUAGGGUGAUCGGCCACACUGGGACUGAGACACGGCCCAGACUCCUACGGUAGGCAGCAGUAGGGAAUCGUCGGCAAUGGACGAAAGUCUGACCGCGCCACGCCGCGUGAGUGAAGAAGGUUUUCGGAUCGUAAAACUCUGUUGUUAGAGAAGCGGUAUCUAACCAGAAAGCCACGGCUAACUACGUGCCAGCAGCCGCGGUAAUAC
rnacentral:rRNA from 1 species